rnacentral:rRNA from 1 species
AGUGAACGCUGGCGGUAGGCCUAACACAUGCAAGUCGAACGGCAGCACAGUAAGAGCUUGCUCUUACGGGUGGCGAGUGGCGGACGGGUGAGGAAUAUAUCGGAAUCUACUUUUUCGUGGGGGAUAACGUAGGGAAACUUACGCUAAUACCGCAUACGACCUACGGGUGAAAGCAGGGGAUCUUCGGACCUUGCGCGAUUGAAGGAGCCGAUGUCGGAUUAGAUAGUUGGCGGGGUAAAGGCCCACCAAGGCGACGAUCCGUAGCUGGUCUGAGUGGAUGUUCGGCCACACUGGAUCUGAAUCACGGUCCAGACUCCUACGGGAGGCAGCAGUGGGGAAUAUUGGACAAUGGGCGCAAGCCUGAUCCAGCCAUACCGAGUGGGUGAAGAAGGCCUUCGGGUUGUAAAGCCCUUUUGUUGGGAAAGAAAAGCAGCAGGUUAAUACCCCGCUGUUCUGACGGUACCCAAAGAAUAAGCACCGGCUAACUUCGUG